rnacentral:rRNA from 1 species
UACGAAGGGGGCUAGCGUUGUUCGGAAUCACUGGGCGUAAAGGGCGCGUAGGCGGCUUUGUAAGUCGGGGGUGAAAGCCUGUGGCUCAACCACAGAAUUGCCUUCGAUACUGCAUGGCUUGAGACCGGAAGAGGUUAGUGGAACUGCGAGUGUAGAGGUGAAAUUCGUAGAUAUUCGCAAGAACACCAGUGGCGAAGGCGGCUGACUGGUCCGGAUCUGACGCUGAGGCGCGGAAAGCGUGGGGAGCAAACAGGG